rnacentral:misc_RNA from 1 species
GAUGAAGAACGUAGCGAAAUGCGAUAAGUAGUGUGAAUUGCAGAAUUCAGUUAAUCAUCGAAUCUUUGAACGCACAUUGCGCCCCUUGGUAUUCCAUGGGGCAUGCCUGUUCGAGCGUCAUUUACACCCUCAAGCUCUGCUUGGUGUUGGGCGUCUGUCCCGCUGCUUUGCGCGGACUCGCCUCAAAGGUAUUGGCAGCGAUCAUGCCAGCUUCUCGCGCAGCACAUUGCGCUUCUUGAAGUUCUGGUGGAUCCGCGUCCAUUAAGCUUACCUUCAUGACUUGACCUCGGAUCAGGUAGGGAUACCCGCUGAACUUAAGCAUAUCAAUAAGCGGAGGA